AAUGGGAGAGGGCAGGGGAACAUCUUUGGUGUGCUGCUCACACAGUGCUGUGUGAUCCCAUCUGUGGUGGCUCAGGGUGAGGCACCCCGGGGGAAGCUCAGCCUGUGGCUGGGCAGGUUUUGUGUGGGUGUGCACGCAGCGUGUGUGCAAACCCGCCAGCAUGUGUGAGAAAGUCAGCACAGCAUCGUCAGGAGGGGCCCUGAGACACAUCCCCCUCCUCCUGCCAAGGUUCUGUGCCCUACCUUAUGGAAAGAAAUUCAGCAGAGCUCCAGGAAAAGCAGCGGCUCCGCUGGGAGCAGAGCGCCUGUCAGACUUGGAAAUUAAAUGGAAGCACGACAAAUCUGGAUUGUUCCUGCCAAAACCAACUUUCAUUACUUUAUAAUUCAACAUGUGUUACCAGCUCCUAUUAUUAGAAAGGCAAACUUCCUCCACUGUGGGAAGAGGCUGAGAUGGAGCUUUCUAGCCCUUUCUUCUGGGCAACAUGUGAGUGUCAGGGUGAUGCUGACAGGACCAACAAAAGCAUUCCAGCACAAAUGAGAAGAAUCUGCCUCCUUCUCAAGCUGAAAUGAACAGGUAAACAAGAAAGGAGAAAUCCUGAAGAACUCCCACACCCACACACCCUUCCAUGUGGGUUUUGGAGCAGCAGCACUUGGCAAGCCCAGGGAAUGAAUGAGCAGUGUGGGUCUGAGGGCAAGGACUGUGCCCAGGGAGGCUCCUCUGCCCCUCACCUGUGCUCUUACAGCCAGCAAACCUGUUCAGUGCAAUGGAGAGUGGAAAGAGCAUGAACAGACCCUCAUCAGAUUCUUAGCAGAUCCAAAGCAGUGCUGCUCCUAGGUUUAUUCCCAAAGGAACACUCCCAGAGCUCCCUGAGCUGGUGGCAGGAGGAGCCUGAGGCUGCUCCCAUCUCCCUGUGAGGUGCUGCAGGUGCAGCUGAGGAUUUGCUGUGACAGACACCUCGAGCAGCAGAUCUGGUGCCUUUGCCAGAUCAAAGGAAAUCUAAAUGGGCUGACAUCUCUGUGUCCUGUGGCAGCACAGCAGGCUGAUGCUGACUGAUAAGAGAGAAACUCCCCUGGCUUUUGUGCAAGGGCCAUUACCAGUGUGGCUUCCUCACUCUUCUAAUAUUUUUUUUUUCUCCUUUGCUCCUUAUCUUAGAAUGACAGAACAAAAUGUAGCGGGGAGAGUGCUGCCUGACUUGUUGCUGUAGAUGUUAAAUGUGCAAGGGUUAUCAGAGAGAGGCCAUGAUUCCUGGUGCUUCCUCAGCAGCAGGAAAUCCUCACCAUCCCCACUUUUCCAGUGUCCUGGGCAGAGUGGGAGCUUCAGACAGAGUUUUUCAGGGAGACCCCCCCCACCCAGUGAGUCAAGAGGUACAGCAAGGACCCUCCUUGCUUCA